rnacentral:tRNA from 1 species
UUAAUUGAAACCAAAAAGAGGUAUAUCACUGUUAAUGAUAUCAUUGAAUAAUUUAUUAUUCCAAUUAAG